rnacentral:tRNA from 1 species
ACCUGGGUGGCUCAGUCGGUUAAGCAACUGACUUCCAUUCAGGUCAUGAUCUCACAGUUUGUGGGUUCGAGCCCCACAUCGGGCU